GAUACGUUGAUUGUUUUUAAGGGCAAUCAAGAAAGGCGGCCUCUAUUUAUAAGCUGUCGCGCAUGGAGGGGUCUGCGUACCAUUAGUUUGUUGGUGGGGUAAUGGCCUACCAAGACUACGAUGGUUAGCGGGUCUGAGAGGAUGAUCCGCCACACUGGCACUGGAACACGGGCCAGACUCCUACGGGAGGCAGCAGUGAGGAAUAUUGCGCAAUGGGGGGAACCCUGACGCAGCGACGCCGCGUGGGUGAGGAAGGCUUUCGGGUCGUAAAACCCUGUCAGGAGGGAAGAAGUGCUUGCAGGCUAAUACCUUGUAAGUUUGACGGUACCUUCAAAGGAAGCACCGGCUAACUCCGUGCCAGCAGCCGCGGUAAUACGGAGGGUGCAAGCGUUGUUCGGAAUCACUGGGCGUAAAGGGCGCGUAGGCGGCUUGGCAAGUCAGAUGUGAAAGCCCACGGCUUAACCGUGGAAGUGCAUUUGAAACUGCUUGGCUUGAGUAUCAGAGGGGAAAGUGGAAUUCCCGGUGUAGAGGUGAAAUUCGUAGAUAUCGGGAGGAAUACCGGUGGCGAAGGCGACUUUCUGGCUGAAUACUGACGCUGAGGCGCGAAAGCGUGGGGAGCAAACAGGAUUAGAUACCCUGGUAGUCCACGCCGUAAACGAUGUCAACUAGGUGCAGGGGGUGUUGAUCCCCUCUGUGUCGCAGCUAACGCAUUAAGUUGACCGCCUGGGGAGUACGGUCGCAAGAUUAAAACUCAAAGGAAUUGACGGGGGCCCGCACAAGCGGUGGAGUAUGUGGUUUAAUUCGAUGCAACGCGAAGAACCUUACCUGGUCUUGACAUCCCGAAGAUCUCCUGGAAACAGGAGAGUGCUCUCUUUGAGAGAAUUUGGUGACAGGUGCUGCGUGGCUGUCGUCAGCUCGUGUCGUGAGAUGUUGGGUUAAGUCCCGCAACGAGCGCAACCCUCGCCAUUAGUUGCCAGCAUUAAGUUGGGCACUCUAAUGGGACUGCCGGUGUCAAACCGGAGGAAGGCGGGGAUGACGUCAAGUCCUCAUGGCCUUUAUGACCAGGGCUACACACGUACUACAAUGGCCGGUACAACGGGCUGCCACUUCGCGAGAAGGCGCAAAUCCCUAAAAGCCGGUCUCAGUCCGGAUUGGAGUCUGCAACUCGACUCCAUGAAGUUGGAAUCGCUAGUAAUCGUGGAUCAGC
rnacentral:rRNA from 1 species